GGCACAGUGGUCUAGUGGUAUGAUAUUUGCUAUGUAGUGUACUGCUGAUUGCAGGCAGAGGGCAAGUGACCUGGGUUCAAUUCCCAGUUGAGCCG